rnacentral:rRNA from 1 species
AUUGAACGCUGGCGGCAGGCCUAACACAUGCAAGUCGAGCGGAUGAAGGGAGCUUGCUCCUGGAUUCAGCGGCGGACGGGUGAGUAAUGCCUAGGAAUCUGCCUGGUAGUGGGGGAUAACGUCCGGAAACGGGCGCUAAUACCGCAUACGUCCUGAGGGAGAAAGUGGGGGAUCUUCGGACCUCACGCUAUCAGAUGAGCCUAGGUCGGAUUAGCUAGUUGGUGGGGUAAAGGCCUACCAAGGCGACGAUCCGUAACUGGUCUGAGAGGAUGAUCAGUCAAAAUGGAAAUGAGAAAAGGUCCCGAACUCCAAGGGAAGCCACAGGGGGGAAAAAUGGACCAUGGGCGGAAGGCUGAUUCCGGCCAGGCGGGGGUGUGAAGAAAGGUCUCGGAUUGGAAAGGCACUUUAGGUGGGAGGAAGGGGAGUUAGGUAAAACCUUGCUGGUUUGAACUUAACCAAAGAAAAAGGCACCGCCAAACUUCUG